GAUGAACGCUGGCGGCGUGCCUAAUACAUGCAAGUCGAGCGAACAGACGAGGAGCUUGCUCCUCUGACGUUAGCGGCGGACGGGUGAGUAACACGUGGAUAACCUACCUAUAAGACUGGGACAACUUCGGGAAACCGGAGCUAAUACCGGAUAAUAUAUUGAACCGCAUGGUUCAAUAGUGAAAGACGGUUUUGCUGUCACUUAUAGAUGGAUCCGCGCCGCAUUAGCUAGUUGGUAAGGUAACGGCUUACCAAGGCAACGAUGCGUAGCCGACCUGAGAGGGUGAUCGGCCACACUGGAACUGAGACACGGUCCAGACUACUACGGGAGGCAGCAGUAGGGAAUCUUCCGCAAUGGGCGAAAGCCUGACGGAGCAACGCCGCGUGAGUGAUGAAGGUCUUCGGAUCGUAAAACUCUGUUAUUAGGGAAGAACAAAUGUGUAAGUAACUAUGCACGUCUUGACGGUACCUAAUCAGAAAGCCACGGCUAACUACGUG
rnacentral:rRNA from 1 species